rnacentral:rRNA from 1 species
AAAAAGCUCGUAGUUGGAUUUCGGGUUGCGCCGGCCGGUCCGCCCAUGUGGUGUGCACUGGCCGGCGCUUCCUUCCGUCUGGAGGCCGUCACUUCCCUUAACUGGGCGGUACCGGGGUUCAGAUCGUUUACUUUGAAAAAAUUAGAGUGUUUAAAGCAGGCUAUUGCUCUGAAUACAUUAGCAUGGAAUAAUGGAAUAGGACUUUGGUCCUAUUUUGUUGGUUUUCGGGACCGAAGUAAUGAUUAAUAGGGACAGUUGGGGGCAUUCGUAUUUAAUUGUCAGAGGUGAAAUUCUUGGAUUUAUGAAAGACGAACUUCUGCGAAAGCAUCUGCCAAGGAUGUUUUCAUUAAUCAAGAACGAAAGUUAGGGGCGCGAAGACGAUCAGAUACCGUUCGUAGUCUUAAACCAUAAACCAUGCCGACUAGGGAUGGGCAGGCGUUCUUUCGUGACCCUGUCCGCACCUUACNAGAAAUCNAGUCUUUGGGUUCCGGGGGGAGUAUGGUCGCAAGGCUGAACCUNAAAGGAAUUGACGGAAGGGC